rnacentral:lncRNA from 1 species
UGCACAAAAGGACAAAUAUUACUUGAUUUUAUUCACGUGAAACAUCAGUAAUUGGCAAAUCAAUUGGGACAUAAAUCAGAUUAGUGGUCAUUAGGGCUCAGGGAAGCAGAAUAGGGUGUAACAACUUUAUGCAUAAUGGGUUUUUGGAAGGGACAUGAUGAAAUUGCCCUGGAACAUUGUGAAUAUACUAAAAGCAAGUGCAUUGUAUGCUUUAAAAUGGUUGUUAUUAAUUUUAUAUUAUGUGAUUUUUACCUUAAAAAACAAAAAAGAGAAAAUAGCCUUACUCUAUACAUAAUGAACUCAAGAUAUGUUACAAAUUUACAUGUGAAAUCCACAAUACUAUAAUAUUUAAGGAAUAGCUAAGUAGAAUAACACUGAAAUUUAACAUAAUGAAACAUUUCCUUAAGAAAGAUAAAAGCACAGUAAUUAAAAAGGGAAAUAUAUUUAAUAUUUUUUCUCUCCAUUAAGCAUGCCAUUAACUGAGUAAAAAAUCAAGCAGCAAUUAUGUAAACUACAUUUUCUAAAACCACAAAGAAAAGAAGAAAUAAAAAGGUAUUUGGGAAAAAAAUCCAAAGGUACAGUCAACUACACAAAAAAAGCUUAGUCUCAUUAAUCAUUAUGAAAAUGCAAAUGGUAACUGAAAGAAGAUAAAACUACAAUUCAAAGAGAAAGCCUAAAAUUUCAACCCCCCAAAAUGUCUGGGUUUUGGAGAUCUGGGAUGGAAUAGGGUUCCUAACCUGACAACAAUGAAAGAACCAAACUAACUUCAAAGUCAUGACUUUAUUUUUAUAGCAACGAGGUUGCCAAGAACUGAGUCAAAAUGUGAGGGAAAACAAGCACCUGCAAGGAGAAAGAGGACAGAUGCACUUACAUAGGACAGAUGCAAAUAGACACCACUAUGAGAAGUAAAGUUGGAAUAAUCAAUAAAUUCCUAAAGACAAAGUGGGGCUGGUGAGAUUCGGAGACCACUGACAGCUGCAGAAGUUGGGAAAGAUCCAUCAUCUUGAAAACGUUUUCCCCACAAACCCACUGCGAUCUCUCAAGCUCCAAAUGGACCAAGAUAUUCCACUUAAUAUGCAGGGGAAGGCAACAAAAACUGCCACGCUUAGAAUACUCCUGAUGCUGGGAGUAUGAAAACAGGAAAAACAAAACCAAACUGCUCUUGAAGGUGAAGGAGGAAUAUCACUGAGCUCACCAAUACAGCCAGGAAAAGAACAGAAGUCUGAGAAGGCUACAUUCCUGAGACCCUGAGAAAAAGUACCUGCAUAAGACUGAGAUGAAAUUACCUACUCUAGUUAUAAUUGAAAUCCCAAAAAGAAAAGAGGAAAAAAUAAUGGAGCCAAAGAAAUAUUUUUCAAAAUAACUGCCAAAAAUAUUCUAAAAGAAGUGACAGAAAAUCAAACUUCAGAUAUAGGAAACUCAGAGAAUGUCAAAUAGAACAAAAACAAAUAAGAAUUACAUCUUGAAAAAUCUUUAAAAAAUCAACUCUAAAUUUUAUAUCUUGCUCCAAAUAUAUAGAGAUAUAAAUAGGUUAUCAUCAAGAUAUGGAGAAAGCCAUAUCACGGAAACACUAAAAUAAAGCUGUGGGAAGGACUACAUUGAUAUUAGACACAACAGAGUUCAGAACAAGAAAUAGUAUCAGAGAUGAGAGAUAAUAGAUAAUAUAAUAAUUCUCAAGGAGAUGUAAACAUCCUACUAAUUAGGGUAUGCAGCUAACAACAGAACCUCCAAAUACAUGAGGAAAAACAUGAAAGAAAUCAAAGGUGAACUAGAAAAAUCCAAAAUUAUAUUUGCAGACUUCAACACUUUUGUCUUAGUAAUGGACAGACUAGGCACAAACUCAGUAAUCAUGUGGAAGAUAAGAACAACGAUAUCACCAACAAGACAUCCAAUCUGCAAUGGCAGAUACUCUUUCCUUUCAAGUGAAAAAAAAAAAACAGUAUGGCAUAUUCUCUAACAAACCCAGAAUUUCUAAUAUUUGCCGUCUUCCUUCCUUCUUUCCAUCUUCCUUUCCCUUCUCUUCCCUUCCCUUGCCUUCUUCCUUCCUUUCUUCAUUUCCUCUUCCUUUUCUUUUCUUUUAUCUUUUCCUUUCUCUCUUUUCUUUCUUGUAUUCUCCUUCCUUCCUUCUUUCCUCUUUUUCUUCCUUCCCUCCUCCCUCCCUUCCUUUCUCCCUCCCUUCUUUUCUUUUCUUCUUUCUUUCUCAAUUUCUUGCUUUGUUUCCUUUUUUCUCCCUUCCGUCCUCCCUCCUUUUCUUCCUUCCUCCCUCCCUUCCUUUCCUCCUUUUACCGUCCUUCCUUCCUUCCUUCCUUCUCCUCUUUAUUUUCUUUGUUUCUCUACAUUCCUCCCUUUUACCAUUCUCUCUUCCUCCUUUCCUUCCUCCCUUCCUCCUUUCUUUCUUUCCUUCUUUCUUUCUUGUGUUCUUGCUUUCUUUUUUCUCGCUUUCUGCCUUUCUCCCUCCCUCCCUCCUUCCCUCCCUUCCUUCCUUCUCUCAUUUCCUCUGUUUCUUUCUUCUUUCUUUCCUUCCUUCUUUUUUCUUUCUUUCUUUUCUUUCUUUCUCUUUACUACAAUUCACAUUAUUUAAAAAAAAUUAAGAGAGGGAGGCGGAAAAAUAAAGAACACUUUAAUCUGCAGGUAAAUAGAUUAUGUCUGCUGUAGACAAAAGAAUGGCCUCCCAAAAAUGUUCAUGUCCUAAUUCCCAGAGUCUAACAUACAAAUAUGUUAGGUUGCGUGGCAGUGGGAAAUUAGAUUUCAAGUGAAAUUAAGGUUGCGAUAAAAUGAUGGAGAGAUUAUCUUAAAUGAGUGGGAUCAAUGAAAUCACAAACUUCCUUAUAAGUGAAAGAAGAAAGCAGAAGAAAGGCAACCAUAGAGGUGGUGGCAUGCGAAAUUACUCAACAUCACUGACUUUUAAGAUACAAGAAUGAGGACCCAGCGCGGUGGCUCACGCCUAAUCCCAGCACUUUGGGAGGCCAUGGUGGGUGGAUGACGAAGUCAGGAGAUCGAGACCAUCCUGACUAACAUGGUGAAAACCCAUCCCUACUAAAAAUACAAAAAAUUAACUGGGCAUGGUGGCACGUGCCUGUAGUCAAAGCUACUCAGGAAGCUGAGGCAGGAGAAUCGCUUGAACCCGGGAGGCAGAGGUUGCAGUGAGCUGNNNNNNNNNNNNNNNNNNNNNNNNNNNNNNNNNNNNNNNNNNNNNNNNNNNNNNNAUAAAGAAAAAAGAAAAAUAGGAUAUAAGAAUGAAGUCAUGUUCCAGGGAAUAAAGGUGGCCUCUGGAUGCUGAAAAAAAUCAAGUAAUAGAUUCUGCCACAUAGCCCUCAGAAAGACUGCAGCCCUGCCCAAAACUUGACGUUAGCCCUGUGAGUUUCAUUUAAGGCUUAUGAACUACAGAACUGUAAGAUUAACCGUCACUUUAUUGUAAGAUAUGAAGUUUGUGGUAAUUGGUUACAGCAGCAAGAGGAAGUUUAUAUUGUAAUUGUAUCAUGAAAAUGAGAACCAUAAUUUACAACUGCUUUUAAUACUGCACUUGGAUGUUUGAAAUCACGUACAUGGAAAUGAUCUCUAUGUGCAUGAGGGAGGAUAGCAAAUUGAUGCCAAAAUAAUGCAAAUGCAAAUCUUACACUCAUUUCUAUGUAGGUUUCAUUUAAUCUUUGAAAUUAAAAUGAAAUUAAAAGAUUGUGAUCUUUUGAUGAAAUUAGACUAAAAUGAACAAUAACAAAAUAAGAACUUACUUAUAUUCUUUAUAUGGUCAAUAAAGAAGUGACAAUGGAAAAAACAAGAUCAAAUGAAGGUGAUGAUUUAGGAAGUUGGAAAGAUAGCUGAAACUACAAAAUGGCAUAUAACCAGUCAACACUUAGACACACUGAUUGAUGAACUUCAGCUUUUGGCUUGGUGAGAACAUAAAAUGAGAGCAGCUGAGGUUUGCAAAUUUGUAAUCUCCUUGUGGAAAAACAGGGGAAAACACAUCUCAGCCUAAUAAGAUUUAUCUACUAAAGAGUCUAGACUUGAUCCAUUUGUCCUUGUAAUUCAAAAGCUAAUUCACAUACUGAUUUGAUGUAUUGUGUGAACAACCAUUGCUGAUUAUCAUCGCAUACCUGGCAUUCUCUUUUAUCUGAUAUCUAAAAUAUUUGGUAAUUCC